AGCGGGUGGCGAAGCGUUGUCCGGAAUUAUUGGGCGUAAAGAGCUCGUAGGCGGUUUGUCGCGUCUGCUGUGAAAGCCCGGGGCUCAACCCCGGGUCUGCAGUGGGUACGGGCGACUAGAGUGCAGUAGGGGAGACUGGAAUUCCUGGUGUAGCGGUGAAAUGCGCAGAUAUCAGGAGGAACACCGAUGGCGAAGGCAGGUCUCUGGGCUGUUACUGACGCUGAGGAGCGAAAGCAUGGGGAGCGAACAGGAUUAGAUACCCGGUGU
rnacentral:rRNA from 1 species